rnacentral:tRNA from 1 species
UAAACUUAAAUAAGACUUCUAAUCUUUUAUAGGCGUACUGUCAAGUUUUA